GGUGUGGGUUAGUGGUUUGAGUAUUGGACUACAACUCUGAAGACCAGGGUUGGAAUCCCAGCUCAGCCA